GCAAGUCGAACGAACGGAGGAAGAGCUUGCUCUUCCAAUGUUAGUGGCGGACGGGUGAGUAACACGUGGGCAACCUGCCUGUAAGUUGGGGAUAACUCCGGGAAACCGGGGCUAAUACCGAAUGAUAAAGUGUGGCGCAUGCCACGCUUUUGAAAGAUGGUUUCGGCUAUCGCUUACAGAUGGGCCCGCGGUGCAUUAGCUAGUUGGUAGGGUAAUGGCCUACCAAGGCAACGAUGCAUAGCCGACCUGAGAGGG
rnacentral:rRNA from 1 species